CCUUCAACCAGCCAACUCUUCACAUCUUAGCUCUUCUGGACUGGACCAUGUUGAAAUCCACAAAAAACUAAACAUGGCAAAGGAUACAUUCCAAGCAUGUGGUAGAGGGGGCACAUCAUGGUCAGCCAUGAUUAAGGAUUUAGCCGUGGCUGUUUUUGGAAGGAGCAUGUUAGCUACCCACAGCCUUUCUGGAAAAAUUGGAAAUGCCAACAAGGAAUCACAAGCCAAGCCCCCUCUGGACCCCACAAAAGUGGAACUUAUUAUAGACACUGUUUCGAAGAAAUUUCCAGAAACUCCACGAAAGUUUCUUCGGGCUGCUUUACGGGAAAAAUUGAAUGAUGAACAUAAACUCCUUAGCAGGCAUCAUAAGAAGGACACUGUUACGCUGCAACACUGAGUGGUGAAGCACAUAAGAGAGUCCAGAGUUAUUGGUUUCUGAAGAAUGAUGGGCCACGUUCUGUUCAGAGUGUUCAUUUUCGUCACACUUAUCUCAUUUUAUCUUUAAGCUCUUUUGACUAAUAAAUAAUUCACAAUUAACAUUUUCUGAAGUCUUUUUUUAUUUUUUGGUGAUAUUUAAAUUUGAGACACAACAUUGCUUUUAAAAAGUGUGUUGUUAUACAGGAGGUUCUGAAUAUCCCUUCAGCAAUCCAACAUGAUGAAUAUACAUAAUAGUUCAUUAGGAUUUCUGCAGAUGUCCUAUAGGAAUUGAACACUAAUGCAAAUUAGAUUUCCUGUAGGUUUCCUGCAGGAGUCCUGCAUGUUUCCUGUAGG